rnacentral:rRNA from 1 species
UACGAAGGGGGCGAGCGUUGUUCGGAUUUACUGGGCGUAAAGGGCGCGCAGGCGGCGGAUCAAGUCAGACGUGAAAGCCCCGGGCUUAACCUGGGAACUGCGUUUGGGACUGAUUUGCUAGAGAUCGGGAGAGGAGAGUGGAAUUCCCAGUGUAGAGGUGAAAUUCGUAGAUAUUGGGAAGAACACCGGUGGCGAAGGCGGCUCUCUGGACCGAUACUGACGCUGAGUGAGCGAAAGCUAGGGGAGCAAACGGG